rnacentral:lncRNA from 1 species
GCAAAGAUAUGUUGCUCUUUGCUGGUCUCCUCUCUUCUUUGGCUGCAGCUGGGACUUGGUUACAGGUUCCAACUUAUCUUUUGCUUAUUCCUCACUAGCAUCAAGAAAGGAUUUAGUAAAGUUAGAACCUUUUUUUAGGAUGGAAUUUCCAAAUGAUAGAAACUAAUAGAAAAACAAUUGUGUGACUGUGAAUUUAAUAGGUGGCUUCUUACUAUGGAUGGCCAGUGUCAACAACUCACUGUAUCGUCGGAUCAAUGGUUGGAUUUGGGCUUGUCUAUGGAGGAGCUGGUGCUGUUUUCUGGAGUUCUCUAGCUAAAGUUGCUUCAUCUUGGGUUAUCUCUCCUCUGUUAGGAGCUCUUGUGUCCUUCCUUGUUUACAAAUGCAUCAGGAGAGUAAGUGAAAACAAGAAACUAACUUUCGAUUUCUGAAAGAUCUCUGAAGUCAUACUCAAGCUUCUUUGGUUCUGUGCAGUUUGUUUACAGUGCACCAAACCCCGGACAAGCA